GACGAACGCUGGCGGCGUGCUUAACACAUGCAAGUCGAACGGAAAGGCCCUGCUUUUGUGGGGUGCUCGAGUGGCGAACGGGUGAGUAACACGUGAGUAACCUGCCCUUGACUUUGGGAUAACUUCAGGAAACUGGGGCUAAUACCGGAUAGGAGCUCCUGCUGCAUGGUGGGGGUUGGAAAGUUUCGGCGGUUGGGGAUGGACUCGCGGCUUAUCAGCUUGUUGGUGGGGGAGUGGCUUACCAAGGCUUUGACGGGUAGCCGGCCUGAGAGGGUGACCGGCCACAUUGGGACUGAGAUACGGCCCAGACGCCUACGGGAGGCAGCAGUGGGGAAUAUUGCACAAUGGGCGGAAGCCUGAUGCAGCAACGCCGCGUGCGGGAUGACGGCCUUCGGGUUGUAAACCGCUUUCGCCUGUGACGAAGCGUGAGUGACGGUAAUGGGUAAAGAAGCACCGGCUAACUACGUG
rnacentral:rRNA from 1 species